GGACGGGUGAGUAACGCGUGAGGAACCUGCCUUUCAGUGGGGGACAACAGUUGGAAACGACUGCUAAUACCGCAUAAUGUGUUUUGGGGGCAUCCCCGGAACACCAAAGAUUUAUUGCUGAAAGAUGGCCUCGCGUCUGAUUAGAUAGUUGGUGGGGUAACGGCCUACCAAGUCGACGAUCAGUAGCCGGACUGAGAGGUUGAACGGCCACAUUGGGACUGAGAUACGGCCCAGACUCC
rnacentral:rRNA from 1 species